GGGAGUAACUAUGACUCUCUUAUGGGACAUGCCAAAUGCCUCGUCAUGUAAUUAGUGAC
rnacentral:ncRNA from 1 species